AUGGAGAUGGUUGAGAAGCUUUCUCUCACCACAAGACCACAUCCACAUCCUUACUACAUCCAAUCGUUCAACAACAGUGGCAAGGUUAAGGUAACACGUACUGUUCGUGUGCAUUUUAGUAUCUCUACAUAUGCUGAUUAUGUUGAUUGUGAUGUGGUACCUAUGCAAGCAUGUUCCUUAUUACUUGGUAGACCAUGGCAAUUUGAUAAAAAUUCUGUACACCAUGGUAGAAACAAUCACUAUACUCUUGUUCAUAAGGAUAAAAAUAUUACUUUGCUUCCUAUGACUCCUGAUUCCAUUUUGAAAGAUGAUAUUAAUAGAGCUAAUAAAGCAAAACAGGAGAAUAAUAAGAGUGAAAAUCAGAUUGUGGCAAAAGAAUUUGAGCAACAAAUGAAGCCUAAUAAAAAACCAUCUAGUGUUGCUUCUGAAAUUAAAUUGAAAAGUGCAUGUUUAUUUGCCACCAAAUCUGAUAUUGAUGAGCUAGAUUUCAGCAACUCUGUUUGCUUUGCUUUUGUGUGCAAAGAGGCAUUAUUUUCAUUCGAGGACGUGCCUUCCUCUUUGCCUCCUGCUGUCACUAACAUUUUGCAGGAGUUCGCUGACGUUUUUCCACAAGACGUGCCACCGGGAUUACCGCCUAUUCGAGGGAUUGAGCAUCAGAUUGACUUAAUUCCCGGUGCUUAA
rnacentral:rRNA from 1 species